rnacentral:rRNA from 1 species
UACGUAGGGUGCAAGCGUUGUCCGGAAUUAUUGGGCGUAAAGAGCUCGUAGGCGGUUUGUCGCGUCUGCUGUGAAAACUCGGGGCUUAACUCCGGGCCUGCAGUGGGUACGGGCAGACUAGAGUGCGGUAGGGGAGACUGGAAUUCCUGGUGUAGCGGUGAAAUGCGCAGUUAUCAGGAGGAACACCGGUGGCGAAGGCGGGUCUCUGGGCCGUAACUGACGCUGAGGAGCGAAAGCGUGGGGAGCGAACAGG